GAUGAACGCUGGCGGCGUGCCUAAUACAUGCAAGUCGAGCGAACAGAUGAGGAGCUUGCUCCUCUGACGUUAGCGGCGGACGGGUGAGUAACACGUGGAUAACCUACCUAUAAGACUGGGAUAACUUCGGGAAACCGGAGCUAAUACCGGAUAAUAUAUUGAACCGCAUGGUUCAAUAGUGAAAGACGGUUUUGCUGUCACUUAUAGAUGGAUCCGCGCUGGAUUAGCUGGUUGGUAAGGUAACGGCUUACCAAGGCGACGAUGCGUAGCCGACCUGAGAGGCUGAUCGGCCACACUGGAACUUGGACACGGUCCAGACUCCUACGGGAGGCAGCAGUAGGGAAUCGUCCGCAAUGGGCGAAAGCCUGACGGAGCAGCGCCGCGUGAGUGAUGAAGGUCUUCGGAUCGUAAAACUCUGUUAUUAGGUAAGAACAGAUGUGUAAGUAACUAUGGACGUCGUGACGGUACCGAAUCAAAAAGCCACGGCUAACUACGUG
rnacentral:rRNA from 1 species